UGUGGCAAGUUUUUAAGGGCACAGGGUGGAUGCCUUGGCAUCAGGAGCCGAAGAAGGACGUGGUAGCCUGCGAUAAGCCUCGGGGAGUCGGCAAACAGACUGUGAUCCGAGGAUGUCCGAAUGGGGGAACCCCGCAGCAGUCAUGUGCUGUGACCCGCACCUGAAUAUAUAGGGUGUGUGGAGGGAACGCCGGGAAGUGAAACAUCUCAGUACCGGCAGGAAGAGAUAUUCCGUGAGUAGUGGCGAGCGAAAGCGGAUCAGGCCAAACCGUGCGCGUGUGAUACCCGGCAGGGGUUGCGCGUACGGGGUUGUGGGACCUUGCUGGGCUGGCUGCCGCCGGCCCGGGGAGUGAGAAAGUCGCGCCAUAGUCGAACGGCUUUGAAUGGCCGGGCACAGAGGGUGGUACCCCCGUAGACGAAAUGGUGUGGCCUCCCGUGAGGGAUCCCAAGUAGCUCCGGGCCCGAGAAACCUGGAGUGAAUCUGCACAGACCACUGUGUAAGCCUAAAUACUACCUGGUGACCGAUAGCGGACAAGUACCGUGAGGGAAAGGUGAAAAGUACCCCGGGAGGGGAGUGAAAUAGUACCUGAAACCGUGUGCCUACAAUCCGUCGGAGCCUCCCUAGCAGGGGUGACGGCGUGCCUUUUGAAGAAUGAGCCUGCGAGUUAGUGGUACGUGGCGAGGUUAACCCGUGUGGGGAAGCCGUAGCGAAAGCGAGUCCGAACAGGGCGAGGUAGUCGCGUGCUCUAGACCCGAAGCGAAGUGAUCUAGCCAUGGGCAGGGUGAAGCGCGGGUAAGACCGUGUGGAGGCCCGAACCCACCAGGGUUGAAAACCUGGGGGAUGACCUGUGGUUAGGGGUGAAAGGCCAAUCAAACUUCGUGAUAGCUGGUUCUCCCCGAAAUGCAUUUAGGUGCAGCGUCACGCGUUCCUUGCCGGAGGUAGAGCUACUGGAUAGCCGAUGGGCCCCACCAGGUUACUGACGUUAGCCAAACUCCGAAUGCCGGUAAGCCACAGCGUGGCAGUGAGACUGCGGGGGAUAAGCUCCGUAGUCGAGAGGGAAACAGCCCAGAUCACCGGCUAAGGCCCCUAAGCGUGUGCUAAGUGGGAAAGGAUGUGGAGUUGCACUGACAACCAGGAGGUUGGCUUAGAAGCAGCCACCCUUGAAAGAGUGCGUAAUAGCUCACUGGUCAAGUGAUUCCGCGCCGACAAUGUAGCGGGGCUCAAGCACACCGCCGAAGCCGUGACACGUGCACAACAGCUCAGCCCGCAAGGGUUCAGGCGUGCAGGUGGGUAGGGGAGCGUCGUGUGGGCGGUGAAGCCGCGGAGUGAUCCAGCGGUGGAGACCACACGAGUGAGAAUGCAGGCAUGAGUAGCGAAUGACGGGUGAGAAACCCGUCCGCCGAAUGACCAAGGGUUCCAGGGCCAGGUUCAUCCGCCCUGGGUAAGUCGGGACCUAAGGCGAGGCCGACAGGCGUAGUCGAUGGACAACGGGUUGAUAUUCCCGUACCGGCGAAGAACCGCCCAUACCGAGCCCGGUGACACUAACCACCGCGUG
rnacentral:rRNA from 1 species